CCAGCUAAUUUUUUUUGUAUUUUUAGUAGAGACGGGGUUUCACCAUGUUGGCCAGGCUGGUCUCAAACUCUUGGCCUCAAGAGAUCUGCCUGCCUCGGCCUCCCAAAGUGGGGAGAUUACAGGUGUGAGCCACUGCGCCUGGCCUAAAGGAAAUGUUUUGCAAAAAAAAAAGUGGGGAAGUUCUCUCUUCCUUUUGGCAUCAGGAAAAAUUUAAAAGAAAAAAAUUUUUUUAGAUAUGUGUGUAUCUAAAUAUGUAAAUAUCUAAACAUGGCUUACCACUAUGAAAUAGGUUCUGUGGUUUGCUUACAGGCUUUUUUAUGUGGUACUUUCCAGGUCUUUAUAAUACAAAAUUUAGGCUAGAGUCUACCCAUGACUGCACUUCUCAAAAGAAAUUAUAGGCCGGGUGCAGUGGAUCAUGCCUGUAAUCCCAGCACUUUGGGAGGCCGAGGCAGGUGGAUCACUUGAGGUCAGGAGUUUGAAACCAGCCUGGCCAAUGUGAUGAAACUCUGUCUCUACUAAAAAUACAAAAAUUAGCCAGGUGUGGUGGUGUGCGCCUGUAAUCCCAGCUAUUCGGAAGGCUGAGGCAGGAUAAUCACUUGAACCCGGGAGGUGGAGGUUGCAGUGAGCCAAGAUUGCGCCAUUGCACUCCAGCCUGGGCAACAGAGUGAGACUCCAUCUCAAAAUAAAUAAAUAAAUAAAAAUAAAAAAAGAAAUUAUAAAAUAUUUCUCGUUACCUGAAUGGCUCCAGUUCCCCUCUAGUUUUACAGAUUUAACUGCUCAUUCUCUUCCUGGACUCAUAUUUUAAUUCUGAAAACAACCAUGGGCUAACACAGUCCUGAAGGACAGUGAUGAAGCUCCAGUUCCCUACACCAGAAUGAAUAGUAAAAGAUGUUUUUCUGUUUUUCCACUGAGAAAAGCAAGAGUGCCUCAAAUGAAUAUUCAUGCCAAGUGUUAAUAUUUGAUGAUGAACCUAAUAUUUUCCCAAAUUGGACUAACAAAAUUGUAUCAGAAACCAUUCUAACACCAUACCAUUGCAUUUGCCUGGCUCACGAUUAUGUAAAAAAACAAAAGGUAAAUGAUUAACCUAAGACCAUAGUGAUUUACAUAUAUAGUGAAUGGUUUUGUUCAAAAGCCCUUUAGCAUUUAGCAAACAGUAGUUAUGUUCUAUGACAGAGCAUAGUGACAUCCCUGUUGUUUUCAACUCUUAUAACUGACAAAAAGUAUUUGCAAAACAUAAAGGAAAUCAACAAAUUUGCAGUAUAGAUCUAUAUUUUGCAAAAUUAGUUUUAGCCAUUAAAUACCAGUUUUUUAAAUGGUUUAAAUGGGAACAGCUGUAAAUAAGAUAGUACCAGAACAGUCAUAUAUAGUCAAAAUAAGCAUGAUACAAGCCAUAAUUCAAUUAAGAUGGUUUACCAUACCUUCACUUCUCUGUCCAAAAUUGUGAGAAAAUCAAACUGUAUCUUUUUCCAGCUACCUACUGCUGGCAAAUGGAUUGAAACUUGAUUUAUUGGAAAAGAAGCUGCAGUAUGUAAUUGUCUAAAACUUAUAACAUUAUAACUUCUUUAAUUUUAGAAGAGAAAUAAUUUGUAUUAACAAGACUUUUCUGCGGGAGCAGCUUACUUAAGUUAGGUUGUGUAGUUUCACUAGUUGCUUCUGAGAGCCAGAUACAUAUUGAUGGAUAGGACCACUUGUUUUAUUCUACAUUUUAAAGAGUCAUCAGUACAGUUUUAUAAUUCCUGAUGUCUAUCAUGUGGCAAACACAAUACAGCCACAAGACUCCCACAGUCAAUUGUGAUAAUCAGGGCACAACUAUUAUAGGGAAAAUCUGUGAGUGGGAAAAAAUCCUGAUUCCUGAGUUCUCUUAUUGGGAUGGAAAGCCUGUGGAAAUGACUGGCUGUUCUUUGGUUAGGGAGAUGCCAAAUGAAGCACAGUAUAGAUGGGUAAGGUGGUCUUGGAGAACAGGACUACUUGAGAGAUGCUGGCUAAACGGAGUUUCCUUGAGUUGCACAGCAGUCAGAUCAAACCAGGGGAAAGGCCUGAGGUGAAAAAAAUAUUGUUACUUUUUUAUGUCUGUUCAGUAUAUCUGAUUUGGCUGUUAAACACAUCUUUUAAAGAAAGUUUUCCUCAUUACCUUUUCAUAAACUAGAAACAUUAAUACCUUUUCAUAAACUAGAAAUUCAGCUAGAACUAGUCAAUGUGUAGAUUUAAGUGUACUUAAUGGUGAUUUCUCACACUUAUGUACAUUUCUCUAAGUGCAUUUGGAGAGGAAUUCAUUGUUAAAGAAUUAUUAUAAUAUUAACAUUGACACCCUUUGCAGAAAAUUUUUCUUUUUUUUCUUUCUUUUUUUUUUUUUUGAGAUGGAGUCUUGCUCUGUCGCCCAGGCUGGAGUGCAGUGGCGCGAUCUCGGCUCACUGCAAGCUCUACCUCCCAGGUUCAUGCCAUUCUCCUGCCUCAGCCUCCCGAGUAGCUGGGACUACAGGCGCCCGCCACUACGCCCAGCCAAUUUUUUUGUAUUUUUAGUAGAUACGGGGUUUCACCGUGUUAGCCAGGAUGGUCUCAAUCUCCUGACCUUGUGAUCUGCCCGUCUCGGCCUCCCAAAGUGCUGGGAUUACAGGCGUGAGCCACUGCGCCCGGCUGCAGAAUAUUUUUCUCGAAUUUAGAAAGAACAUAUAUAAGAUCGUGGACAUUAAGCAAGGAAGAAGUCUAAUUGCUUUUAAGAUAUCCUCUUUAGCUGUAUAGAUUAAAAAGUAGGCUGGGCACAGUGACUCAUGCCUGUAAUCCUAGCACUUUGGGAGGCCAAGGCAGCAGGAUCACUUGAAGUCAGGAGUUUGAGACCAGCCUGGACAACAUAAUGAGACCUCAUCUGUACAAAUUAAAAAAAAAAUUAGCUGGAUGUGGAGGGACACACCUGUAGUCCCAGCUACUCAGGAGGCUGAGGUGGGAAAUUGCUUGAGCCCAGCAGGUCGAGGCUGCAGUGAGCUAUGAUCACACCACUGCACUCUAGCCUGGGCUACAGAGUGAGACCCCCAUCUCUAAAAAAACAGAGAGGAAAGUUAAUAUGCAAAUGAAUACCUAACGGGGCAACAUUAAGUAUUAGUCUAUAGUGUAAUUCAAGUUAAAAAGCCUUAAGACAUAGGGUUUCAAUAUUUUUCAAAAGAUCAGGAGAGACAGGCAUGAUGGUGCGCACCUGUAGUCCCAGCUACUCAGGAGGCUGAGAGAAGAGGAUUGCUUGAGCCCAGGAGUUCAAGGCCAGCCUGGGCAACAUAGUGAGACCCUGUCUGUUAAAAAAAAAAUCAAGAGUAAGGCUAAGGCAAAGAUACCUGCUCUCACCAGUCUUAUACAGAAUAGUACUAGAAGUUCUAGGCAAUGCAAUAAGGCAAGAAAAGGAAAUUAGAAGGCAUGGACAUUGGAAAGGAAGAAAUGAAACCGUCUCUAUUUAUACAUGACAUUAUUAUCUAUGUAGAAAACUCCAAGGAAUCUUUUUUUUUUUUUUUUUUGAAAUGGAGUUUCGCUCUUGUUGCCCAGGCUGCAGUGCGAUGGUGUGAUCUCAGCUCACCACAACCUCCGCCUCCUGGGUUCAAGUGAUUCUCCUGCCUCAGCCUCCCAAGUAGCUGGGAUUACAGGCAUGCACCACCAUGCCUGGCUAAUUUUGUAUUUUUAAUAGAGAUGGGGUUUCUCCAUGUUCAUCAGGCUAGUCUGGAACUCCUGACCUCAGGUGAUUCACCUGCCUCGGCCUCCCAAAGUGCUGGGAUUACAGGCAUGAGCCACCGCACCCAGCCCAAGGAAUCUAUUUUUAAAACCUCCUAGAACUAAUGAAUUCAGCAAGGUUGCAGGAUACAAAAUAAACAUACAAAUAUCAAUUGUAUUUAUAUACAAUAGUGAUAAACAUGUGGACACCAAAAUUGAAAAUGUUUUUUCAUUUAUUGUCACUCCAAAAAAUGAUAUACUUAGAUGUAAAUCCAAUAAAACAUGUACAAGACUUGCAUAAUAAAAACUAUAAAAUGCUGAUGAAAGCAAAGAAUAUCUAGAGAAACAUACUAUAUUAAUGAGUGGGAAAACUCAACAAAAUUAAGAUGUCAGUUUUCCAAAAAUUGAUCUAUAGAUGUAAUCACAAAAUAAAAAUUAUUGCCAACACCAGUUGCUGGUGAGGAUGCAGAGAAACUGGAUUAUACAUUGCUAGUGAUAAUAUAAACUGGUACUACUGUGAAAAACAAUUUGGCAGUGUCUUAAAAAAAUAAAUAUGCAACUACCAAAUGACAAUAAUUACACUCCUGGUCAUUCAUUCCAGGUAAGUGGACACUUAUGUUCACACAAAAGCCUGUACAUGAAUGUUCAUAACACCCUUAUUCAUAAUAGCCAAAAACUGGAAUCAACCCAGAUGUCCUUCAACAGGUGAAUGGUUAAACAAAUUGUGAUACAGCCAUGCCGUGGAAUAUUAUUCAGCAAUAAAAGCCAACUAUUAAUACACAUAACAACUUGGAUGAAUCUCCAGAGACUUGCUGAAUGAAAAAAGCCAGUUUCAAAAGGUGGCAUACAUAUGAUUCCACUUAUAUAACAUUCUUGAAAUGACAAAAUUAUAGGAAUGAAGAACACAUUAGAAGUUACCAAGUUUGCAGCUGUGAGGAGGCA
rnacentral:lncRNA from 1 species